GUGCUUACUUAGGCAGCACAUAUACUAAAAUUGGAAUGAUACAGAGAUUAGCAUGGCCCCUACACAAGAAUGAUACACAAAUUUAUGAAGCGUUCCAUAUUUUU